rnacentral:rRNA from 1 species
ACGGGAGGCAGCAGUGGGGAAUAUUGGACAAUGGGGGAAGCCCUGAUCCAGCGACGCCGCGUGAGUGAAGAAGUAUUUCGGUAUGUAAAGCUCUAUCAGCAAGGAAGAAAAUGACGGUACUUGACUAAGAGGCUCCGGCUAAAUACGUGCCAGCAGCCGCGGUAAUACGUAUGGAGCAAGCGUUAUCCGGAUUUACUGGGUGUAAAGGGAGCGUAGACGGCAAAGCAAGUCUGAAGUGAAAUGCCGGGGCUUAACCCCGGAACUGCUUUGGAAACUGUUUAGCUAGAGUGCAGGAGAGGUAAGCGGAAUUCCUAGUGUAGCGGUGAAAUGCGUAGAUAUUAGGAGGAACACCAGUGGCGAAGGCGGCUUACUGGACUGUAACUGACGUUGAGGCUCGAAAGCGUGGGGAGCAAACAGGAUUAGAUACCCUGGUA